rnacentral:rRNA from 1 species
AUUGAACGCUAGCGGGAUGCUUACACAUGCAAGUCGAACGCGUGGCGGACGGGUUAGUUAUAUAUCGGCACGUGCCCAGUAGCUGGGGAUAACUACUCGUAAGAGAGCUAUACCGCAUCCUCUUGGAGCUGCCGGUAUCGGAAUAGCGAGUUGUUGGGGUAAAGGCUCACCAGGGCAACUAUCCGUAGCUGGUUUGAGAGGAGGACCAGCCACACAGGGAAUGAAGCACGGCCCAGACUGCUACGGGAGGCGGAAGUGGGGAAUGUUGGACGAUGGGGGGAACCCGGAUCCAGCCAUCCCGCGUGUAUGAGUAAGGCUUCGGGUUGUAAAGUACUUUUGGGAGAGAAGCGGUACCUGCAGAAUAAGCACGGGCUAACUACGUGCCAGCAGCCGCGGUAAUAC